AAAAAGGUAAGCUAAUAAAGCUUAUAGGUUCAUACCCUAUCUAUAGAAGUAAAUUCUUCUCCUUUUUA
rnacentral:tRNA from 1 species